GGGCCUAUAGUUUAGCGGUAAAACAGUGGUCUCCAAAACCACCGUCCCAGGUUCGAGUCCUGGUGGGCCCG
rnacentral:tRNA from 1 species